UACGGAGGGAGCUAGCGUUGUUCGGAAUUACUGGGCGUAAAGCGCACGUAGGCGGCUUUGUAAGUUAGAGGUGAAAGCCUGGAGCUCAACUCCAGAAUUGCCUUUAAGACUGCAUCGCUUGAAUCCAGGAGAGGUGAGUGGAAUUCCGAGUGUAGAGGUGAAAUUCGUAGAUAUUCGGAAGAACACCAGUGGCGAAGGCGGCUCACUGGAUUGGUAUUGACGCUGAGGUGCGAAAGCGUGGGGAGCAAACAGG
rnacentral:rRNA from 1 species